rnacentral:tRNA from 1 species
GCCGAGACGGUCUAAUCGGCUAAGGCGUCGCCCCGUAUAGACGAAGGUUGCGGGUUUGAUCCCCGCUCCUGUCC